rnacentral:lncRNA from 1 species
AGGAUACCGGAGGAGCCGCCUGGGCUCGGCGGGACCCUGGGGCCGGUACAUCUUAAAGAACUAGAAAAGCAAGAAUAAACCAGACCCAAAAUAAGUAUAGAAGAAAGGAAGAGUAAAGCCAAGCCCAGCAAAAGAAUGGCACAGAGCAGUUGCUGCCCAAGCCUGGGUGCUCCUGGUGUUCCUGUGCAGACUGGCUGUGCAGUAUGGUUGUCGUGGGGAGAACCCUCCUUGGCCUCUCCUGGUGCAGGCUCCACGCUGUCGGUGAGGCUCAUCUCACAAAGAUCUUUGGAGAGUUGGAGGUGGGGAUCUGAGUGCAGUGCCAGCACUCCCUGCUCCUGCCUGCCCACCCCGCCUGAGGGCUCUACUCACCACCAGGCUUGUCGGCGGCCCCAAGCUCCUGGGGGACUGGGGCUCCUAGACCAGGCUCAUCAGCAGGGUUCUGGGCAGUGGCCAGGAAUUUGUGGUUCUCCUUGUUGUAGUCACCACAAGCUGUAACAGCAUCUCCUAGAGCGCCAGCAGCUUCACCUGGACGGAGGGGUGCUCAGCUGUCACGCCGCUGCCGGCACCCACCCUCACACCCACGCCCACCCCCACAGAGAUGUUGCACACCCUACCUUCAUCUCCUCCCUGUGCUGGGCCAGCCUGAUGAUGUUGUCCUCCCAUUGCUGCAUCUUUGGCACUGGCCCCUGGCUCUGUUAUAAGGUGAUGAACUUUCCUGCAGGAGAACAGGACUCAGACGCUGGGGCCCCUCCUAGGGCCCUGCAGCUCCCCAUGCCGUGCCCUGGCCUCCCACUCACUGAUGGCAUCUCUCUCUCCAGUACUGGAUGAAUCAAAGUUCUUGUUUCUCCACCUGCUCCCUCAGGUUCACCUUCUCCUCCAGGUGGUCCAUAAAGUGGCUGGUGUCACCUGCCCCCAGGCUGGAGCUGUCUCUGGCCUGGCACACCCCUCCCCAGAGGCUGGUGCCCGCCUCCCAGCCCUUCUUGGAUGGGGCAGAGGUUACCAUCUCCCUCACCUCAUCCAGCUUCUCCUGUAGCUCCUCUACUUGCUGCUCCAACUGCAGUGCGCUCUUGUUCUCGUUGUUCUGGACAAAGAGAAGCAAUCAGCAGCCACCCACUGCAGCUGGAGACCCCAGAACUUGGUGUCUGCCUCCCAUGGCACCGGGAAGGGUGGAGGCAGAAAGAGGAAGACAGAGCUCUUACCAGGGGGAGGCAGAGAUGGCACAGCAAGAGACAUGCCCCCAGAAUGGCACCACUGCCCCAGGACAGGCCCACCCAUGGGACCAGGUUAUCAGGAACCCUGUGGGGAUGGGGUGGAAUCUAAGGGGUGAGCCUUCUUCCCCAGGUUGGGAGUGGGCGAGACUGGGGCCUCUACGUCUGAGUGCCCCCCAAACCCAGCAGUCAUGUCGCAAGGAAACAAAGAAAUCACAUUACUUCUUCCAGCUGAUGUUCCACUUGUUUCUUCUGUUGUUC